rnacentral:rRNA from 1 species
AGAGUUUGAUCCUGGCUCAGGAUGAACGCUGGCGGCGCGCCUAACACAUGCAAGUCGAACGGAACCUGCCCUCUGAUUUAUUCGAAUGGAUACCUGAUGAAUUGCACGUGGAAAAGCUGACCCCUCCCCCGGGAUACCCGCCCCAAAGGACGGGAAAUCCCGUAUACCCCGGGGCGAAUACCGCAUAAGCGCACAGAGCUGCAUGGGUCGGUGUGAAAAACUCCGGUGGUAUGGGAUGGGCCCGCGUCUGAUUAGGCAGUUGGCGGGGUAACGGCCCACCAAACCGACGAUCAGUAGCCGGCCUGAGAGGGCGACCGGCCACAUUGGGACUGAGACACGGCCCAAACUCCUACGGGAGGCAGCAGUGGGGAAUAUUGCACAAUGGGGGAAACCCUGAUGCAGCGACGCCGCGUGAAGGAAGAAGUAUCUCGGUAUGUAAACUUCUAUCAGCAGGGAAGAAAAUGACGGUACCUGACUAAGAAGCCCCGGCUAACUACGUGCCAGCAGCCGCGGUAAUACGUAGGGGGCAAGCGUUAUCCGGAUUUACUGGGUGUAAAGGGAGCGUAGACGGAUGGACAAGUCUGAUGUGAAAGGCUGGGGCUCAACCCCGGGACUGCAUUGGAAACUGCCCGUCUUGAGUGCCGGAGAGGUAAGCGGAAUUCCUAGUGUAGCGGUGAAAUGCGUAGAUAUUAGGAGGAACACCAGUGGCGAAGGCGGCUUACUGGACGGCAACUGACGUUGAGGCUCGAAAGCGUGGGGGGCGAACCGGAUUAGAUUCCCUUGUAGUUCCACCCGUUAACGAAGGAUUCUAAGUGGUGGGGGAUCCGCCCUCUUUGCUGCAGCCACCGCAUCAAUUAUCCUUCCUGGGGAGGAGGGCGGCAAGGCUAAAACUCAUCGGAAUAAACGGGGACCCGCCGCAACGCGGUGGAGCAUCGUGGUUUUAUUAUUAGCAACGCGAAGAACCUCCUCACGUACUCCUCAUCAUUCCGUCCGCGGAGUCAUCUGUGCGUUUUCUUCUUCGCAGCGAGUGGCAGCAUGGUGCACGGUGGUGGUCAUCAUCUUGUCUUGAGAUGUUGGGGGAAGUCUCGCACAGAGAGCGCCCCCCAUCUUUUCUGUCCGCGCACGGAUAGGCGGGGACUCUAAUGAGACCGCCGCAGACAACGCGGAGGGAGGCGGGGGAGGAGUCAAGUUUCUCUUCCCCUUAAGGCCUGGGGUUCCCCCGUAGUUCCAAGGGUGUCAACAAAGAGAAGCGAGCCCGCGAGGGAGAGCAAAUCUCAAAAACACACCCCCAGUUCAGAUCGCAGUCUGCAACCCGCCUGCAUGAAGUAGGAAUCGCUAGUAAUCGCGGGUCAGCAUGCCGCGGUGAAUACAAUCCCGGGCCUUGCACACACCGCCCGUCA